rnacentral:rRNA from 1 species
UACGAAGGGGGCUAGCGUUGUUCGGAAUUACUGGGCGUAAAGGGCGCGUAGGCGGUACUUCAAGUCAGGCGUGAAAGCCCCGGGCUCAACCUGGGAACCGCGCUUGAGACUGGAGAACUAGAGUUCGGGAGAGGAUGGUGGAAUUCCCAGUGUAGAGGUGAAAUUCGUAGAUAUUGGGAAGAACACCGAUGGCGAAGGCAGCCAUCUGGACCGACACUGACGCUGAGGCGCGAAAGCGUGGGGAGCAGACAGG